rnacentral:misc_RNA from 1 species
GAUGAAGAACGCAGCGAAAUGCGAUACUUGGUGUGAAUUGCAGAAUCCCGUGAACCAUCGAGUCUUUGAACGCAAGUUGCGCCCGAAGCCAUUAGGCCGAGGGCACGCCUGCCUGGGCGUCACACGUCGUUGCCCCCCCAUCUACUCCUUCGGGAUUGCGGGGGGCGGAUGAUGGCCUCCCGUGCGCCUCGUCGCGCGGUUGGCAUAAAUGCCAAGUCCUCGGCGACGCACGCCACGACAAUCGGUGGUUGCGAAACCUCGGUUGCCCGUCGUGUGCGGUCGUCGCGCAUCGAGGGCUCGAAAAAAUUGCCGGGCUCCGGCUCGGCUUUCAACGCGACCCCAAGUCAGGCGGGGUUACCCGCUGAAUUUAAGCAUAUCAAUAAGCGGAGGA